rnacentral:rRNA from 1 species
AUGGCUCAGGAUGAACGCUAGCGACAGGCUAACACAUGCAAGUCGAGGGCAGCAUAAAAGUAGCAAUACUUGGUGGCGACCGGCCGCACGGGUGAGUAACGCGUAUGCAACCUACCUAUCAGACGGGGAAUAACCCGGCGAAAGUCGGACUAAUACCGCAUAAAACAGGGGCACCGCAUGGUGAUAUUUGUUAAAGAAAUUCGCUGAUAGAUGGGCAUGCGUUCCAUUAGGUAGUUGGUGAGGUAACGGCUCACCAAGCCGACGAUGGAUAGGGGAACUGAGAGGUUGGUCCCCCACACUGGUACUGAGACACGGACCAGACUCCUACGGGAGGCAGCAGUGAGGAAUAUUGGUCAAUGGGCGGGAGCCUGAACCAGCCAAGUCGCGUGAAGGAAGAAGGAUCUAUGGUUCGUAAACUUCUUUUGCAGGGGAAUAAAGUGCAGGACGUGUCCUGUUUUGUAUGUACCCUGAGAAUAAGGAUCGGCUAACUCCGUGCCAGCCGCCGC